rnacentral:tmRNA from 1 species
GGGGUCGAUUUGGCUUCGACAAGAUUCGUAUCCCUUGAGUGCAUGUCGGCUCGGUAAGCCGUAAAACUGCCAUACAAAUAAACGCAAACAAUGCAAACUUCGCUCCAGCUUACGCAAAAGCAGCAUAAGCCUAACUAAUUUCGGAGCCGAUUACUUAGUGAGACUAGCGCGCUUGUGUGAUCGUUACUUAUGCUAGUUGCCCCUAGAUUCUGCUCGAUCUCUAGGGAAAGAUGAGAGCUUUUUGCGCAAGUAAAGUUUAAGGUCUUUUUGCGCGAGAAUCUAAAACCUUAGCCCUUAAGCAUGUCGAGUCUCUUGCGGUCGCGGAUUUUGGACUGGGGUUCAACUCCCCACGACUCCACCA